GUCGGAUAAAAAUAGCGAAAGCACAGAUCAUGCUGUAAUGCAUCGAAUAAAACAAAGGAGAAACAUGACCACUGCAUGUACAUCGUGGAAUGAUGGGACAUCUUACCUACUACAUCCUCCGCUGUCUCCCAGUGCAUCGAUCGCUGAACAGCAAGCUUCCAGCGAAUAAACCUUGCAUCUCGUUCUACAAUAAAUAAAGCCUAGCAAUCAGCACUGUUGAAAAAUUAGGCUCUCCAGUCUGCCUAAUACAACAAGGCCAAACUUCCUGUGUUAUGAUACUUGCCUACACUGAUUCCGAGAAGGUCUGUCUGUAGCUGCAUUAACAGCUGAUUGGCCGUCAUCCCUCCAUC